rnacentral:rRNA from 1 species
CGGGACGGGUGAGUAACGCGUGGGUAACCUGCCUUGUACUGGGGGACAACAGUUAGAAAUGACUGCUAAUACCGCAUAAGCGCACAGUAUCGCAUGAUACAGUGUGAAAAACUCCGGUGGUACAAGAUGGACCCGCGUCUGAUUAGCUGGUUGGUAAGGUAACGGCUUACCAAGGCGACGAUCAGUAGCCGACCUGAGAGGGUGACCGGCCACAUUGGGACUGAGACACGGCCCAA